CUGUGAGCUUCUCGAGGAAAACACCUGCCAUUUGGGGCAAUCCUGUGUUCAAAGAGAAAAGCACCGCUAGUUGCUUCUGUGUGAGAACAACAUGCCUGAGGGCAGGGAAGCCAGAAAUACUUUUGUCUCCAUCUAUCGCUCCACAGUGCGGGCAGAGCAUGAGGCUCUUGGGCUGCCAUCGACUGAGAGCUCUUCAUCCUUCUUCAGAGGGACGCUCAUGGGCCAGUGACUUCAGGAGAGCGUGAUGUUUUCAGUGGUGCAACUGAAACUGUGUUCUGGGGAAGUUAUUCCUGAAUAAUGAUCAUCCUCAUCUCUGCUGUUCUGUCAAGAAGAUUGAAACAGUAAAUUACACAUUAUGGUAAGUUGCCCAACAAAUUCAUAUUUGCACCUUUUUGAUCUUUUGGAAAAAAU
rnacentral:lncRNA from 1 species